GCCGUUUCCGGCUUUAAGUCUGAGAAUCCGGAAGUGACGCUCCUUUCUACCCUUCUGGCGACGUAGCCGGUCCCGGAUACAGCGCUGCAGCCAUGCCUCGCAAAAUCGAAGAGAUCAAAGACUUCCUCCUCACAGCCAGAAGGAAGGAUGCCAAAUGUAAGUGUUCACC